rnacentral:lncRNA from 1 species
GACCGUUAAUAGUCCCCGCCGCCUGGAAGUUCUGACAGCGCCCUGAAGCCCAUUUGUCAUCUAAAUGGCCACCAUUUAGUGCCAAUAAACAGAAGGCCUGGUUUCUUCAAAAGAAACACAAGAAAUUGUUUCCUGGUUUUGCCACAGAGAUUGGGUCACAGAGUGCCACCUAAAUGGUAUUACCAUAUUUGUGUUGUCGCCUCUUGGUUUGAAAUUUAUUCCUGGUAUGACUUGUGUCUCCCCUUGUUCCAUCUCUGACACCCAAGCCCAUGGGAUGACAACCCAGGCUGAGAUGUCCCAUGUGUCACAAAGGAGUCCUUCAGUAUUUCCAGGAAUAGUUGGAACCAGCACUCCAUCCCCUACCUGGACCUGGCACCCUCUCUACUCUUGUCAAUUCUACACUAAUCACAGGAAGAAGGUGGAAUUAGUCCAAGCUGGGUUUUCAGAAAUAACUUGUAGACAUGCAACAGAUGUUUAUAACCCUCAGAAGCGGAAGGAAACUUGGAAACCCUCUCUUUCGGUGACUUUUUUUCUAAUGAUUGUCUCUGCCAUGAAAUUCUAACUUCAAAUGAAAUCUUUGGCAGGAACCCAGGGCUGUUCUGUCAAGGUUCAGCUGCAGGACCAGAGCCCCUUCCACCUAACCCCCACUCCUAUCCUGAUGCUUCCUGAGGCACAUCUGCUGUGGUUUCUCACCAGAGAACAGUCUGCAAAAUCACUGCACCUUGUCCAACUCCAUUUUCCAACUGAGAAGACUUGGCCCAGAGAAGUGCACAGACUUGAGGGAAGUAACACAGCAAUCGGACAGACAGACAUCCCCAGAUAUACCUGCUACGGUCCUGGGAGAAAAUAGAGACCCAUCCCCAAAUACCAUCAUCCUCAUCAUUCUCUGUAGCCCAAUCAAAUGAUGCUCCAGGCCUGAGAUUUUAUCCAAUGAACACUCUGUACAUCUUUAAAAGAGAUAUGUACUUGUCUUAUUCCUCCUUUCCUUUCUUUAAAAAAAAACACAGGCCCCAGAUCCAGUCAUUCUAAAUAGGAAGGAAAAACAUAACCCACUGAGGCAAUGGAUGCUGUUUCUCUCCCUGCUCUGUGACUUUAGUUUGCCUUUAAAGCCCAUUUUCACCAUUUAUUGAUUUUAGUUUUCUACUUGUCUAUGAAUGACAACUUGAAUUAAGACAACGCAGGCUGAAAAGCCGCUAGGCAGUGCUAAAUGGACAAGCUACACUUCGUGGCAGGAUGUCUCAUGACCGUGCCACCUUCUGCCUAGCCCCAUUCUCUGGAGGAGCUGUGGGCAGACCGACCCCAGCCUGGCCGCCUGGCAUGGGGACUGGUUGCGUCAGAUCGGAGCUCUGAGAUAAGGGUGGGCCAGGGCAUGAUCAUCACCACUGCCAGCCUCGAAGCCUCUUUGCUGACCUGGAGGUGAUCUGUGUAUCAAAGGGGGCUGUGUAUUCAACAGCACUUCCAGAAGAGGCCAAAGAUCUGUCUCUACUUCAGCCUCCACUGGGCAGAAAACUAAGCCUAUUUGCUCUAGGCCCUUCAGACUUGCACUUGGAGAAAGAAAACUCACUAAGUCAGCCCUUAUGUAACUCCACUCUCCUCUCUUCCAAACCUCCUUGCUUUGGACAAAUAUUUGACAGAAAAUGCCCUUUUGCAACGCCUUAAAAGUUACAAAAAUGGUGCACCCUAUCCUUUAAUCUGUACUGUAAAUAAAAAAUAUUAACAC